rnacentral:rRNA from 1 species
CCUACGGGUGGCAGCAGUGAGGAAUAUUGGUCAAUGGCCGGAAGGCUGAACCAGCCAAGCCGCGUGAAGGACGAAAGUGCCAAGCAUUGUAAACUUCUUUUGUCAAGGGACAAAAUCCGGCUCGAGAGCCUGACCGAGUGUACUUGAAGAAAAAGCAUCGGCUAACUCCGUGCCAGCAGCCGCGGUAAUACGGAGGAUGCGAGCGUUAUCCGGAUUUAUUGGGUUUAAAGGGUGCGUAGGCGGACUGUUAAGUCAGCGGUAAAAGCCCGGGGCUCAACCCCGGCGAGCCGUUGAAACUGGCGGUCUUGAGAUGGCGAGAGGUAGGCGGAAUGCGCAGUGUAGCGGUGAAAUGCUUAGAUAUUGCGCAGAACUCCGAUUGCGAAGGCAGUAUACCGGAGGCGAUCUGACGCUGAGGCACGAAAGCGUGGGUAUCGAACAGGAUUAGAUACCCCUGUAGUC